rnacentral:rRNA from 1 species
AGAGUUUGAUCAUGGCUCAGGAUGAACGCUAGCGGGAGGCUUAACACAUGCAAGUCGAGGGGUAACGGGUUGGAAUUUCGGUUUCGAUGCUGACGACCGGCGAACGGGUGAGUAACGCGUAUGCAACCUGCCUUUUACAGAGGGAUAGCUUUCGGAAACGGAAAUUAAUACCUCAUAACACUACGAUUUGGCAUCAUAUUACAAUUAAAGAUUCAUCGGUAAAGGAUGGGUAUGCGUGACAUUAGGUAGUUGGUAAGGUAACGGCUUACCAAGCCUACGAUGUCUAGGGGGCCUGAGAGGGUGAUCCCCCACACUGGUACUGAGACACGGACCAGACUCCUACGGGAGGCAGCAGUGAGGAAUAUUGGUCAAUGGACGCAAGUCUGAACCAGCCAUCCCGCGUGAAGGACGACGGCCUUAUGGGUUGUAAACUUCUUUUAUGUACCAAGAAAGUUAUCUAUGUAUAGAUAUUUGACGGUAGUAUAUGAAUAAGCAUCGGCUAACUCCGUGCCAGCAGCCGCGGUAAUACGGAGGAUGCGAGCGUUAUCCGGAUUUAUUGGGUUUAAAGGGUGUGUAGGCGGAUUUUUAAGUCAGUGGUGAAAUCUCUAGGCUCAACCUAGAAACUGCCAUUGAUACUGGAAGUCUCGAGUUUAGAUGAAGUAGGCGGAAUAUGUCAUGUAGCGGUGAAAUGCAUAGAUAUGACAUAGAACACCGAUAGCGAAGGCAGCUUACUAAUCUAUAACUGACGCUAAGGGACGAAAGCGUGGGGAGCGAACAGGAUUAGAUACCCUGGUAGUCCACGCAGUAAACGAUGAUAACUCGAUGUUGGCGAUACACAGUCAGCGUCCAAGCGAAAGUGAUAAGUUAUCCACCUGGGGAGUACGAUCGCAAGUUUGAAACUCAAAGGAAUUGACGGGGGCCCGCACAAGCGGAGGAGCAUGUGGUUUAAUUCGAUGAUACGCGAGGAACCUUACCUGGGCUUAAAUGUAGAGUGCAUGAGUGGGAAACCAUUCUUUUCUUCGGAACUCUUUACAAGGUGCUGCAUGGUUGUCGUCAGCUCGUGCCGUGAGGUGUCGGGUUAAGUCCCAUAACGAGCGCAACCCCUAUCAUUAGUUGCCAUCAGGUCAAGCUGGGGACUCUAAUGAGACUGCCACCGUAAGGUGAGAGGAAGGUGGGGAUGACGUCAAGUCAGCACGGCCCUUACGUCCAGGGCUACACACGUGUUACAAUGGUCGGUACAGAGAGCAGCUACUUGGUGACAAGAUGCGAAUCUUCAAAGCCGGUCUUAGUUCGGAUCGAAGUCUGCAACUCGACUUCGUGAAGUUGGAUUCGCUAGUAAUCGCAUAUCAGCCACGAUGCGGUGAAUACGUUCCCGGGCCUUGUACACACCGCCCGUCAAGCCAUGGAAGCUGGGGGUACCUGAAGUCCGUAACCGCAAGGAACGGCCUAGGGUAAAACUGGUGACUGGGGCUAAGUCGAAACAAGGUA